GCCUGGAUGGCUCAGUCAGUUGAGCGUCUGACUUCAGAUCAGGUCAUGAUCUCGUGGUCUGUGGGUUCAAGCCCCACAUUGGGCU
rnacentral:tRNA from 1 species